rnacentral:rRNA from 1 species
UUAGAAGCUCUGCUUCUAUGACGUUAGCGGCGGACGGGUGAGUAACACGUGGGCAACCUGCCUGUAAGACUGGGAUAACUUCGGGAAACCGAAGCUAAUACCGGAUAGGAUCUUCUCCUUCAUGGGAGAUGAUUGAAAGAUGGUUUCGGCUAUCACUUACAGAUGGGCCCGCGGUGCAUUAGCUAGUUGGUGAGGUAACGGCUCACCAAGGCAACGAUGCAUAGCCGACCUGAGAGGGUGAUCGGCCACACUGGGACUGAGACACGGCCCAGACUCCUACGGGAGGCAGCAGUAGGGAAUCUUCCGCAAUGGACGAAAGUCUGACGGAGCAACGCCGCGUGAGUGAUGAAGGCUUUCGGGUCGUAAAACUCUGUUGUUAGGGAAGAACAAGUACGAGAGUAACUGCUUGUACCUUGACGGUACCUAACCAGAAAGCCACGGCUAACUACGUGCCAGCAGCCGCGGUAAUACGUAGGUGGCAAGCGUUAUCCGGAAUUAUUGGGCGUAAAGCGCGCGCAGGCGGUUUCUUAAGUCUGAUGUGAAAGCCCACGGCUCAACCGUGGAGGGUCAUUGGAAACUGGGGAACUUGAGUGCAGAAGAGAAAAGCGGAAUUCCACGUGUAGCGGUGAAAUGCGUAGAGAUGUGGAGGAACACCAGUGGCGAAGGCGGCUUUUUG